ACGCUCGACACCUACGUGAGGCAGCAGUGGGGAAUAUUGCACAAUGGGGGAAACCCUGAUGCAGCGACGCCGCGUGGAGGAAGAAGGUCUUCGGAUUGUAAACUCCUGUUGUUGGGGAAAAANGGAUGGUACCCAACAAGGAAGUGACGGCUAACUACGUGCCAGCGGCCGCGGUAAUCUGAGCGGGCUGGCAAGGC
rnacentral:rRNA from 1 species